AAAACCACAAAAACACUUCUGACUGCUUGGGUGCCAGAAAAGAUGCUCCUACGUUCACUGGCGCCCAUCAAUCUGGGUGUAUCUGAGCUCUUGCCCCAGACCACAAAGAGAGAGCACCUUUGGUCUUUCCUGUGUUUAGGAACAAAAGCGCACAAAUAGCAAAAUCAAAUAUAGGCGUGGCAGACCAAAAUUACUCAAUAAAAAGUAUUUCUGCCCAAUAAAUAGUUUCCAAAAGAAAAAUAAUUGGCUUUUACACUUAAUGGAUUCAGCAAAAGUGAAGAUGGUGAGAUUGUGUUUUCCAGUUGGUGGCCUGAGCCUCCCGAGGCAGGACAGUUGCCACUGAGCAGCAGGUGGUGCCGGACCACAGGAGGAGCCCCUGUGUCUCCACCCGGAGGCUCCUAGAAAAACACGUUAUUUGUAGGAAAGCUUUCUUGGGCCCGAGCCCGGUUCUCCAAGUGAAGGUGUCCUGUUUCUUCCUGGACAUCGGACUCAAACAAACCAGAGUUCGUAUAAAACUGGAUCAAAUGAGGAAACCUUUACAAUGACUCAAUUUAUAAAUAUUGCUGAAGAUCAAAGCGAAGUGACAAUGAAUUUAAUCUGCGUAAAAAUCAGGUUCUAAGCGGCUUGUUAUUUAAAACCAGAGACAACAGAGACUGUACAUCCAGAUGACCGCGAGCUGCCCGGGCCCCUGGAGGCGCGGUGGGGGGGGCGGGGGGGCGCGUCCGUCCUGCCCGCGGCCAGCACCUCACAACGGCCUCGGGCUCCGUCGGGGCGCAGGGAAAGGCCACACGAGCGUUUUCGUCCUGCGGCGCUGGCGCGGCCCGAGGCUGGACACCGGCCGCCUGCGACCACCCACACGCACCGGCCUGCUCCGGGCCCCCAGGGCUGACCUCCGGGCUGUGUCUGCAGAGUCACACGGAAACCGAGGAUUUACUCUUCUUUUAAGAAGGUCAUUUUAAAGCUUCAUUUAUGAAAGUCGCUCGACAGCUUCCGCUGAAAUCCCUCCUGCGCGCGGCCAGGGGAGCCGGUUCCCGCCUCUGGCCUCCCGUGGUCUGCGGAGAAACCGCAGGAAUGAUUUUAUUUUUAUCAAGCUACCUUCAUUGUCAGUUUCUUCUGGAUCACAGAAUACUGUUUGAUUCCGAUUAUCAUGUUUUUCAUGUUGGAAACUUUCCUUAAAUUAAUGGACAAUUGUUGGAGUGAACUGUUGGACGAUCACUCAUAUAAAGAAUGAAGCACUGAAAGAAGUGUGUGGGUAGGUCCUGUCAAUUGGUGACUUUCACUGCAAGUUAAUCAGGUUAAUAAGGUGAAGUGUCCUAUUUGUAGAAGAAUCUCCAAAUGUUUGGAUCUGAAAAUCUUUUGCUCUGGGAAUAUUAAAGUGCUAUCCAACAGUAAA